rnacentral:sRNA from 1 species
GAGCAGAUGGUAGACGUGUUCCAUGCUGUGUAUGCAUUCUAGAUGCACGGGCCCCUCAUGAUCCAGACCCUGAGCCAGUACGUCUUCCUGCACAGCUGCCUACUGAACAAGAUUCUGGAAGGGCCCUUCAACAUCUCUGAGUCUUGGCCCAUCUCUGUGAUGAACUUCGCACAGGCGUGUGCCAAGAGGGCAGCCAAUGCCAACGCUGGCUUCUUGAAGGAGUACGAGCUCUUGCUGCAGGCCAUCAAGGACGAGACUGGCUCUUCCGCACCCCUGCCUGGCUAUGAGCAGGACAGCCCCUUCUCCUGGUGGGCCCUCUGGCUGUGAUCAUAUGGUGCUGACUGGCCUCGCACGGCCAGAGGAGCUCUGGGAGCUGGUGUGGCAGCACGGGGCUCAUGUGCUUGUCUCUCUGUGCCCACUCGAUGCCAUGGAGAAGGUACCUCAUCCAACUCUAGGUCAGUUGCAGCAAGGGUGCGACCCAGCUGGGCACCUUCCUGGCCAUGGAGCAGCUGCUGCAGCAGGCAGGGUCUGAGUGCACCGUGGAAGUCUUUAACGUGGCCCUGCAGCAGUCUCAGGCCUGUGACCUUAUGACCCCAACGCUGAAGCAGUAUAUCUACCUCUACAAUUGUCUGAACAGCGCACUGGCAGACGGGCUGCCCCUGAGUCGGCACUGGUCACUGUGCAGGAGAGGUUUGUGCCCUGUAGGAUGGGGACAGCAUUCCUGACACAUCCGCGUGGGCCUGGGCUCCCCGGAAGGGCGGCCUCCACUGGGCCCUGUGCUGCGAAGGUAAAGGGUCUUGGAAUAAAGACCUGUGGCCAAG